GUGAACGCUGGCGGUAGGCCUAACACAUGCAAGUCGAACGGCAGCACAGUAAGAGCUUGCUCUUACGGGUGGCGAGUGGCGGACGGGUGAGGAAUACAUCGGAAUCUACUUUUUCGUGGGGGAUAACGUAGGGAAACUUACGCUAAUACCGCAUACGACCUACGGGUGAAAGCAGGGGAUCUUCGGACCUUGCGCGAUCGAAUGAGCCGAUGUCGGAUUAGCUAGUUGGCGGGGUAAAGGCCCACCAAGGCGACGAUCCGUAGCUGGUCUGAGAGGAUGAGAAGCCACAGUGGAACGGAGACAGGGUCCAGACGCCUACGGGAGGCAGCAGUAGGGAAGAGUGCGCAAGGGGGGAAAGCAUGACGGAGCAACGCCGCGGGGGUGAAGAAGGGCUUAGGAUCGUAAAACUCUGUUAUUAGGGAAGAACAGAUGUAAAAUGAUCUGUUCACAUCAGGACGGUAACUAAUCAGAAAGCAACGGCUAACUACGUG
rnacentral:rRNA from 1 species